AGGAUAGUAAUUAAAUAAUAAUAUUUAUUUUGCAAAUAAAAUUUAAUGGAAACAUUUUAUCUUA
rnacentral:tRNA from 1 species